CGGCGGACGGGCGAUUAAUACUUAGGAAUCUACCUAGUAGUGGGGGAUAGCACGGGGAAACUCGUAUUAAUACCGCAUACGACCUACGGGAGAAAGGGGGCAGUUUACUGCUCUCGCUAUUAGAUGAGCCUAAGUCGGAUUAGCUAGAUGGUGGGGUAAAGGCCUACCAUGGCGACGAUCUGUAGCUGGUCUGAGAGGAUGAUCAGCCACACCGGGACUGAGACACGGCCCGGACUCCUACGGGAGGCAGCAGUGGGGAAUAUUGGACAAUGGGGGAAACCCUGAUCCAGCCAUGCCGCGUGUGUGAAGAAGGCCUUUUGGUUGUAAAGCACUUUAAGCAGUGAAGAAGACUCCGCGGUUAAUACCCGGAGACGAUGACAUUAGCUGCAGAAUAAGCACCGGCUAACUCUGUGCCAGCAGCCGCGGUAAUACAGAGGGUGCAAGCGUUAAUCGGAAUUACUGGGCGUAAAGGGAGCGUAGGUGGCUCGAUAAGUCAGAUGUGAAAUCCCCGGGCUUAACCUGGGAACUGCAUCUGAAACUGUAGAGCUAGAGUAUGUGAGAGGGAAGUAGAAUUUCAGGUGUAGCGGUGAAAUGCGUAGAGAUCUGAAGGAAUACCGAUGGCGAAGGCAGCCUCCUGGCAUCAUACUGACACUGAGGCUCGAAAGCGUGGGUAGCAAACAGGAUUAGAUACCCUGGUAGUCCACGCCGUAAACGAUGUCUACUAGUCGUU
rnacentral:rRNA from 1 species